AGAGCAGAAAACGACCAUGAGGGACUCUUGUGGUUUUCAUUAUUUAUACCUUUAUUAUACAAAUUUUCUCCAGCAAUCCCAUGGUUACUCCAUGAUUUUAAAAACUAAAACUGGAGUUCCCAUCGUGGCGCAGUGGUUAACGAAUCCAACUAGGAACCAUGAGGUUGCGGUUCGAUCCCUGGCCUUGCUCAAUGGGUUAACGAUCCGGCGUUGCCGUGAGCUGUGGUGUAGGUCGCAGACGCGGCUCAGAUCCCACGUUGUAGGCUGGCAGCUACAGCUCCAAUUAGACCCCUAGCCUAGGAAACUCCAUAUGCCGCAGGAGUGGCCCUAGAAAUGGCAAAAAGACCUAAAUAAAUAAAUAAAUAAAUAAAAACUAAAACUCAUACUGAGUGCUUGGUAAGGUCUUAUUUAGGGCACAUAAUCAAUUAAAAAUUGCCAAAAAGCAAAUAAAUCAUUAAAAAUAGAAAAGGCAAUUGGUGAUUUGCCCACAGUAGUCUAGGUUUUUCAAAACAAUAAAUGAAACACAGCCUUUUUAACUGUCCCUGACACAUUUACAAAAAAUUAAACAAGUACUAGUCAACCAGAAAUAAUAAAUAUCAAAACCAGAACUUUACCAGCUAUUUUUCUGUCCACGAAAUAAUAAAAAGCAAAAUCAAUAGCUAAAAGAUUUUAAAAAAAAGUCCUCAAAACACCCCAAUAAUUAAGUGUUAGCUAAGGAAGGUAAUCAAACAAACCAUAGGCUACAUGUAAAAUAAUGAUAAUGGCUCCAACACAUAGCAAUAUUUGUAGGAUUCAGCCAAGGCUGGACUCAGAAGGGGAAAUCAGCCCUACAUAAAAUUUUUAAAUAGGGAGUUCCUGUUGCACCUCAGCAGGUUACCAACCCAGCUAGUAUCCAUGAGGACGGAGGUUAGAUCCCUGGCCCCAUUCAGUGGUUAGAGAUCCAGUGUUGCCAAGAGCUGUGAUGUAGGUCACAGAUGCGGCUGAGAUCUGGCAUUACUGUGGCUGUGGCUGUGGCUGUGGCUGUGGUGUAGAUCAGCAGCUGCAGCUCCGAUUCGACCCCUAGCCUGGGAAUGUCCAUAGGCCACAGGUGCGGCCCUGAAAAAGCAAAACAAGCGAACGAAUAAAAAUUAAAUAAAAUAAAGAAUGAAAAUACAAUUGGCCCUCCCCACCCACCAAUGCAGAACCAGUGGGCUGGGCCAUUACAUGCAGGAGUUGAAGAUCUACAGAUUUUGGUUUCCCAGGGGUGCUGGACCCAGUUGCCCAUGGAUACCAAGGGGUGAAUGGAUGUGAGACACUCAAUACAAAAACAGAGGGGAAACGACAAACAAAAUGAUCCUAAGCAAAGCGGGAGAAAGGGAUUCAUUUUUUUUUUGAAGAAUGAAGAGAAAUAAAAAGUAAAAAGGGAAGACUAGGCCAAAAAAAAUCUAAUAAUCAGUUCUUUCUUAAAGGUCUGAUUGAAAAAAUACAAACCUCUAGCAAACCAGACGGGGGAUGGGGGUAGGGAGAGACAGAGACAGACACACACACAAAGAGAGAGAGAGAAAAAACACAAGACCUAUGAGAAUUAAACUAUAAACACUGAGGGAUCUUAAACUAUUAAAUUUCCUCUACAGGGAGUUCCCACCAUGGCACAGCGGAAAUGAAUCUGACUAGGACCCAUGAGGUUGCGGGCUCAAUCCCUAGCCUCAGUCAGUGAGUUAAGGAUCUGGCGUUGCCAUGAGCUGUGGUGUAGGUCAAAGACAUGGCUUGGAUCCUGCAUUGCUGUGGCUGUGAUGCAGGCUGGCAGCUGCAGCUCCGAUUAGACCCCUAGCCUGGGAAGCUCCAUAUGCCAUAGGUGCAGCCCUAAAAAAGCAAAAUAAAAUAAAAUAAAAUAAAAUAAAAAAUAAAUAAAAUUUCCUCUACAACCAAAAAACUGGAAAAUGCAAAAGAAAGUAAUGAUUGUAUUAAGAUAAUCCCCUCCCCCAAAUAAUAGACUUGACUAAACUAAUAACCAAGAAAGAAUAUUGGGAAAAGUUAUCAAAGAACAACUGGAGGGGGGGAGGAUGUGCCAUGCACAAAUUAUUCAUAAAUUCUUUCAAACUUUGAAAAGGUAAUAUAAAAGCUAGACAGAUUGUUAGGUUACAGAAAAAUAUGGGGAUCUCCCAGUCUAUUUGGCAUAACUCUAUAUGGCUGGCAUAAAUCUGGUUCCAAAACCAAAGCAGAUAAUGUAGGAAAAACAAAAACAAAAACUUUAGACUUCUGUUCCAGCCAAGACAGAGCAACUUUUAAGAAACCAAUGUCCCUGCCAAGAACAACUAGGAAAGCUGCUAUGAUACAUCACCUGUUCUGAGACAUUCAAGAACUGCUCAGCAGCUGGGAUUUAAAGCACCAAAAUCCUAAAGGAAAAAAAAUGAUGGAGGUGUGCCUGACAUCCUGCAUUCUGGUCUUCCUCUUGGGUUAUUUACCACUUCCUAAAUGGUGUGGGGUUAGAUGCUGAAAAGCUUGGCAGAAGCACAAAGAUAAAGCAAAGAAGCCCAGGAACGGUGAGGAAAGCCUUCCACAGUCUUACAGGGCUGGGAAGAUACAAAAUGUGACAGCACCUAUCUAGGGUUCCAGGGUCCAGUCAUGACUAGAGGGUCCAAAGCUGGUACAGAGGGAGAUAGUGUGCCUACCUCUUUACCCACUCUACUUUUAAAAUAGGUGAUGAUUCUUAAUCAAAGGAGGGUGAGAGACUAAACCGCCUUGCACAAAGAGGCUGGAUAACUGAACAGAACUUUCAGGAGACUCGUGGUGCUGGGAAAAUAAGUUUUGGGGUUCAGGAACCACCAAGGCAAAAACAAACUCUCAAGGAUCUUGGGGAGAGGAGAAUGACCACAAGUUACCAAGCCUUCCAAAGACUGCAAAUCAGCCUCAGCUUCUGAUCAAAUUGAGGUGAUCUGCCCCUUCUCUGCCUGACAGAGGACACGAGGACACGAUAAAUCCUUAGGAGACAGGCUAGGCGAAUCCUCUUUGCAAGAAGGGAACAUCAUCCAUGACAUGAAUAAAUGUCCCACAUUCGACUGAAAAGUACCAGGCACACUAAGACACAGGAGCAAGAGUCAAAAUAAAUAUUAGACCCACAGGCAAUAUAAUUACCAGAGUUAUCAAACACGGCCUUCAAAAUAAUGGAGAAAUGGAUAACUACACGGAGAAUUUAACCAGAGCAGAAUUAAUCUAAAAGACAGACUAAAUGAAAUUAAGAAUCCAAUAAAUGGGUUUUCUAACAUCAUACAAAACACAGAAUCAGUAAAGUAAAAGACAUGUUAGAAGAAUAGAAAAGUUAGACUUAAUUGACAUUUUCAGGACACUACAUCCAAAAAAAUCAGGAUACACAUUCUUCUCAAGUGCACAUGGAACAUUCUCAAGGACUGAUCAUAUAUUUGGGCAUAAAGCUAACCUCAAAAAAUUUAAGAGUACAUAAAUUAUUUCAAGUAUCUUCUCUGACCACAAUGGCUUGAAACUAGAAAUCAACCACAGGAAAAGAAAUGAGAAAAAAAGCUACUACAUGGAGACUAAACAACAUGCUACUAAAAACCCAAUAGGUCAAUGAGGAAAUCAAGAAGGAAAUGAACAAAUACCUUGAGACAGGAGUUCACAUCGUAGCACAGUCGUUAACGAAUCUGACUAGAAACCAUGAGGUUUCAGGUUCAAUCCCUGGCCUUGCUCAGUGGGUUAGGGAUCCAGCGUUGCCGUGAGCUGUGGUGUAGGUUGCAGAUGCAGCUCGGAUCCCAUGUUGCUGUGGCUCUGGUGUAGGCCAGUGGCUAUGGCUCUGAUUGGGCCCCUAGCCUGGGAAUCUCCAUAUGCCAUGGGAGUGGCCCUAGAAAAGACAAAAAGAUAAAAAAAAUACCUUGAGACAAAUGAUAAUGAAGUCACAACCACUCAAAAUCUAUGGGAUGCCACAAAAGCAGUGGUCAGAGGGAAAUUCAUAGCAAUACAGGCCUUCCUCAAAAAAGAAGAAAAAUCUCAAAUUGACAACGCACCACCUAAAUGAAUUGGGAAAAGAAGAACAAAAACAACAACAACAAAAAACUAAAGUCAUCAGAAGGGAGGAAAUCAUAAAGAACAAAGAGGAAAUCAAU
rnacentral:lncRNA from 1 species